rnacentral:lncRNA from 1 species
UCAAAUUGGGUUUUUUAUAUAAAGGAAAAUAAGAACAUGACAAACACCAAGUCCAACAGUAGCCAAACACAAAACAGCCAACGACCCAAAUAUGGGCCCAAAACCUAUCCAAAACUAAUAACAGAAAAGAAAAAUAAAGAAAUACUAAAUAGUGUGCACCACCGUUUCGUUGCCCAAUCAAAAAACUUCUAGAUGCUUAUCCUAACAACAAUCAAUCACUCUCCAUUUCCAGACGGUUCCAUUCUCAGAAAAAGCCUCUAUCUUCCCCAAAAGUACACAGAAUACAACUUUCCUCCCAAAAGACUUCCAAAACAGUUCGCCCUUCUUUAAUCUGGUUCCCUCGUCUUCUCCGCAACAAAAUGACUUCUUGCAAAGGACUGAACACUCCCCACUAGGUAAAACUCCUCACUCCUUUUCAAAGAUUCUAUUGCAAAAGUAUGGGCUAGUCCAUUAGUCGAUCUAGGAACAUGUUUGAAAGUGAUUGCCUGGAAACAUCCUUUUAGCUGAUGAAUAUUCUAAAUGUAAGCCCCUAUAUGUGAUUUAUCUUGAUAUUGGGAUUGAUAUUUUUGAAUAAUGGUUAAUUCUUCUCCAUUGACUGCUACCUCCGACCACCCGUUCUCUAAUCCCAAUCACACAGCUCGAUGACUAACGAUGGCUUCAGCAGCGAAAGUUGAGGGAACCCCCUCGUGAUUCUCUGACUUUAAAACCAGUACUUCCCUCUCAGCAUCUCUCGCAACAAUACAUGAGGCCGACCUAUCCCUCUGUCUGUUAUAAGCUCCGUCGAAAUUAAUUUUGAUGAUAGUUCCCAUGGGUUUCUUCCAUUCUACUGCCUCAGACUCAUUUAAUUCAGAAAUGUAACUGACAACCAACCUGGCUAUAGCUUUCUCAGGUACAAUCUUUCUUUCAUGGACUCUGGUAUUUCUAUCACGCCAAAUUACCCAAAGUGCACAACAAAGAAGACACCGUUGAGGAGUACAGCUCACCCCAAAAGCUCGAGUAAGCCAUUGAUCGAACGCCAGAUCCAAAUUAUUUGAGAAUAUGCAAAAGUAUAAACUCUGACCAAACCUCCACUGAAACAACACUCAUUCGAAAGAGGUGAUCAAUAUUUUCUUCUGCCCAUCCACAACGAGGACAACAAGCUGUAUUAAUCAAUUUUUUUGUAUUUCAUAUUAGCCAGAAUAGGUAGAUAGUUCCAAGAGCACCUCUAAAUUGUAAUUUUAAUUUCCCCAGUCAGGUUAAGGCCCCAUAGCUUUUUUUAGAAAUCACUAGUUUCGAAUUGUAAAACAAAAGCAUUAGGUUCCAUAGGAUUCCCCGGCUUCCCCACCCCACGCAAGCAUAUCCUCUUGGGCCUUAGUCGCCAAUGGGGUAUAAAGAAUUCUUUGGGCGUCCACCGACAAGAAGGUAUUAAGUAUCUGUCCCCUUUUCCAUGUUCUUUGAUUUGCAUCAAUUAAAUCUGACACCUUCAAAUUAUGCAUACUAUGAAUAUCGAAAAGUAACCUAUAAUUAACACUCCCUGGUAUUCAGGCAUCAUCGGUAAUAGAUAUCUUCUCCCCCCAAACCCACCCUCCAACAGUUUCCCAUAUUUAAAACACCUCUCGUAACCCAUAAACUUUUCCAAGUGUAAGGUCUAGCAACCCAUUUUCAGUGAAUCCAUUUUUAGUGAAAUAAAAAAUGGUUUUUGGACCACAAAUCUAAAAAUAUUUAUUUUAUUAUUAUUUUAAUGUCUACAGAAUAUUAGUACGGUCGAAAUUUUAUCGUUUGCAUGUUUAAUUUGGUAAAAAGGACUAAAUAGUAAAAAAUGCAAAACUUGAGUUUUAUAAGUAAAGGUACCAAAUGAUUAUGAAAUUAAAUGAUUAAGGGAUUUAAAUGGUAAUUAGACCAUUUUUAUAUUGACUUUACAUUUAUGGAAUCUAAAUAGGUGUAAGGUUAAAUAAGUAAUUAAAUAAAUAUAUCAUAAUUAAAGAAAAAGGUUGUCUCAUCUUAAACCUUGGUUUGAUUCGCUGGAAGUGAAGAAGAAAAAAAACAUUUUAGGGCCUUGAAGCAUUUGGUUCAAUCUCUAUCUUGCAUGUAAGUGAUUUUUGUCUCUUUUUUAAUGAUUUUUAUGCUUUUUAAGUCAUUGUAGUUUAAUCUAGUUAGCUCAAGGAUUAAUUUGAAAAAAUUUUAAAAGGUUAGGGUUUCUCUAUGAAUGUAUACAUGUGGUUUUUGAUGUCUUAUGAAAGAAAAUGAAUCCUAGUUGAUUAAUAAAUAAUUUUUAUAAAGUGAUUUUUGUUGAAAAUGUCAAUUAGAAAUUUAUUUAUAAAAUGUGUAAAAUACAAGGUGAAAUUGUGAAAUAAUGAAUUGUAUGAGUUGCCAUGAGUGUAUAUGGAAUUUGGCUAGCUUUGUAUGAGGAUGAAAUUGCAUGAAUUGAAAUUUACGGGCUUAAGGACUAAAUUGUAAGGGAAUUAAAAUAAUAGGGGAAAAAGCAUAAGUUUGAAAAGUAUAAUUUUUGGAUUGAAUUGAGUAGAAUGAAUAUUGAAUGGAUUGAAUUUGAUUAUUUAAAUCAAGUUAAGCCUCGUAUGGACUUAGUCGAGGGAAAGAUAAAGUAUGGACUUAGUCGAGGGAAAGAUAAAGUGUCAGACUAAUCGGUUUUAUUUCAUCGUUUUUGUGAUUGAGGUAAGUUCAUAAGUUUAAAUAACUUUAAUGUAUUUGAUUUAAAUGCUAUUAUGUUAUUUACCAUAUUAUGUUUUGACGAAAAAUCCAACGAUGUUACGACGAAUAUCGGGCCUCGUUUGAACCUUAGGAAUAUAUAGGAUAUACAAAUGACAUGUCAUUAGGGUUAUUAUGUUUCAGGUGCUCAUUCUGAACGUCUUAUUAAUAGUUGAGUUUUGGCAUUUGUUGCAGAUACUCAUCAACUUGUGUUAACGGCAUCAUGUAGCUACAUUCCGAUCGUUAGCUUGUGUAAGCAGGCUCAUUUAUGGCUCAUAUGAGCGAUUAUGUAAAGGAAAAUGAAAGGAACGAUUUUGACCAUGUAUUAGCACAUUUUGUGUGAGCUUCCCGUGUAUCCAAUAUUAUUCUAAGUGGUUCAAUGGGCAUGUAAAGGGACGAACCGAUAAAGAUUCCGAAUGAUUUACACUAUUAAAUUAUAGAAAUGUAUGAAGUAUUGAUAAUCAAAGUAUGUAUAGCCAUUUUAUGAAAAGUAUGAAUUAAUAUGUAUUAUGAUUAUGAGAUUUAUCUUACCAUGUGAUGAAUUUGACUAAGUUAUGUGAUUAAGCAUUAAUUUGUAUUGUUGGUGAUGCUUAGGAUUGUGUCAAGCUUGUGUUGUAUUGAUUCAUGUCGAUGUUUAGGAUUAUGCAUUGAAAUGGUAAGUAUUGUUCAUGAUUUACGAACUUACUAAGUAUUAUAAGCUUACGUCGUUUUCAUUCUUAUGUUUUAUAGAUUAUCAGAAGACUGAUCAGUUUGGAAGUUCGUCGAAGACCUAUCAUACUAUCCAACAACUAUAUCGGUAGCUUUUGAUGUUUUGAGUCAUGGUUAUAAUGACAUGUAUAGGUGAAUUAUGUUUAAUGAGAUGGUCAUUAUAUUUGGCUUGUAAAUGUGGUAUUAUGGUUGAUAAACUUUUGGCCUUUUAAUACGUUGAUGGUUGUGUUGAAAUGGUCAAGUGAAUUUAUGUUUUGAAUGACCAAUUUGGUAUAUUGAGUUGUGGUUUGACAAAUGGUCAAUUGUGCUAUGUCUUGGUAUGAAAAUAGGUAGUUGUGUGUGGUUGAUUUAUGCCCAAAUAUGUUUAUGUUUUGGUUGAUUUGAUGAUUUGCGAUUGAGAUGCCUUUAGCAUGUUGGUUGUAUGGAUAAAUGGUGUAAUGAUUUAGUCAUUGUUGUACAUGUUUAAGGUAUGUUUUCAAGGUUUGAAUGUAUGUGUAAUUGGUUUAUAGGAUCAUGCUUGAUUAGGGUGAAGGAAAUGGCUUGAAAUUGGCCUAUUUCUUGUUCAAACGGCCAAAGACAUAGGCAUGUGUCUCAACCAUGUGUGACACAC